UAGUUUUGACACAAUUUCAAGUGGCAAACACACAAAUUGGCAGCUUCAUUACAAGUGAUCAGUACUAAUGAAAACAUUGCUUUUACCUUCCCUUUUUGCUAAACAGCUUAAAGUGGAGUAGUGGAAGAAAGACGUGAGACUGAAGGACCUCUGCUUUGAAUCCCUGGACUAUCGGUGUGGACCUUCAAAUAGCUGGUCGAUGUCCACAUUCUGGAUGUUGGACAGCUGGCCCAGCACCGACUGCUUGUGCGUUUCCUCUUGGUUGUCCUCAGCAAUCAUCUUGGCCAGCUCUGUGGGCAACACCACAUCGUCCCCCGCCUGCUGGAUCUGGGUCUCGUCCAUCUCAUUCUGAGAUUCUUGACACAUGAAGUGUGAAAAGGAACUUUGAUUACAAGUCAACAACUUCAGCGUCCUGAUCCUCGCAGCAGUCUGACACCGAGCCUGGCCUACUUUUCCAGUCCCUGUGGAUCAGGAGAGGCAGAGCACGUCUCAGUGUCUUUUUGUCACAGGCUUAGCGGGCCCCUGUUAACCUAUACCUGGCUUGCUUUUAAAUCUCUCUCCAACUUCAAAGCUGCCACUGGUGAAUAGAUUGAAACGUA